GACGAACGCUGGCGGCGUGCCUAAUACAUGCAAGUCGAGCGGAUGACGGAGGAGCUUGCUCCUCCUGAUUCAGCGGCGGACGGGUGAGUAACACGUGGGCAACCUGCCCUGUAGAUUGGGAUAACUCCGGGAAACCGGGGCUAAUACAGAAUAAUCCUUCGGACCUCAUGGUCCGAUGUUGAAAGACGGCAUCUCGCUGUCACUACAGGAUGGGCCCGCGGCGCAUUAGCUAGUUGGUGAGGUAACGGCUCACCAAGGCCACGAUGCGUAGCCGACCUGAGGGGGUGAUCGGCCACACUGGGACUGAGACACGGCCCAGACUCCUACGGGAGGCAGCAGUAGGGAAUCUUCCACAAUGGACGAAAGUCUGAUGGAGCAACGCCGCGUGAGUGAAGAAGGUUCUCGGAUCGUAAAACUCUGUUGUGAGGGAAGAACAAGUACCGGAGUAACUGCCGGUGCCUUGGCGGUACCUCAUUAGAAAGCCACGGCUAACUACGUGCCAGCAGCCGCAGUAAGAC
rnacentral:rRNA from 1 species